rnacentral:rRNA from 1 species
UACGGAGGGGGCUAGCGUUGUUCGGACUUACUGGGCGUAAAGCGCACGUAGGCGGCUUGGUAAGUUAGAGGUGAAAGCCUGGAGCUCAACUCCAGAAUUGCCUUUAAGACUGCCGAGCUAGCAGGUGAGAGAGGUGAGUGGAAUUCCGAGUGUAGAGGUGAAAUUCGUAGAUAUUCGGAAGAACACCAGUGGCGAAGGCGGCUCACUGGCUCAUACUGGACGCUGAGGUGCGAAAGCGUGGGGAGCAAACAGG